CUGCCCAAGAUUGUGGCAACUGUUUGGCCAGACAGGACAAAGAACGUGUAGCUACCAAUCCGGAGCCACUUUCUGAAACUCCUUGACUUAGCAACUUCUUGGGAGAUGGAUUAGGAGGAGGGAAGGGAAAGAUAGAGAGGGAGAGUUCAAGACUGCUUAUAUAGAAACGUUAGGCAGCUUACAUCCAAUUCUUUUCUUUCUUUCUUUUUUGGGUUUUCUAUCACAUGGUUUGCUGCCCUGCCCUUUGGUAUGUGUGAAGAUACAUCUAUAUACGCAGGGAUUAGAUAUUGGUCACCGUCUAUGCUUUCAUUGAUCUUGGCCCACGUUCAGUAAAUUUCACCUAUAUCCC